AGGAAUAGCAAGUUUAUUGUUGUCCCCUGAGACAGCUACUAUUUCCCAAGGCAGAGCUGAGGGAAAUAGUUGCUGUUGAGCCAGUAAAUAAGUAUCUUAUUAUGCCAAAGAAAAUUAGAUUUUUGACAAUGCAAAGUCUGCUGAUAAUAAACAUGAUUAUAUACAUAAUACUAAUUAGUAUACAGUAUAUACAUUAAUAUGCUGAUAUUUCUGCUUCAAAGGUUAACACUGCCCUUUUUGUCACAGAUAUAUUCCAUUGGCCCUGUCUGAACCAUUAUGCCCAGCAGUUUCCCGCUAACACAGCCCCCGCGGGCUACACCUGUCCCACCUGUAAUGCAGGGAUCUUCCCCCCACAGAACAUGGUGUCCCCUGUGGCAGACAAACUAAAGACCCUCCUGUCCACUGUCAACUGGGCCAGAGCAGGUCUUGGUUUACCCCUGAUUGAUGAACCACAAGAACCUUUAUUGCCUCCCCCACAAACACAACUACCCACCUCACAGAGCAGUGAGGGCUCUCAAAUAAAGUCAGAAGCAGUUCUACCGACUCAUAGCACUCCUCAGAAAUCUCAAAUUGUUCAGAAUCAUGGGACAUUACCAAACUCUUCAGGAUUCUCAAACACACCUGCUGCAUCUCCCUACCCCCUGGGAGCCUCACCGAAUCCCCAGUCUGGGACCCCCUACUCUCCAAUGUCAACUCCUAACUACAACAGACCCAGCGCCCACGUUCCUCCCAAUCAACAUAGUGUGAUCAGUGUGGACGAGGGGACCUCAGUGAGGGGACAGGACAAACUCGCCUUUGGAGGUACGUUACAAUGAGGGAUUGACUCAUUAAACAUUAAUAAUUUUCAACUAUUAGAAUUAAUUAUUUUUUAUAAAAAUUAAAAUUCUAACAGGCAGGUCUCAAAAUAUGAAGAGAAAUGGUGGUAAGAAUUUUGGACCAGUGUGCACAUAUUUUUUCCUGACAUGAAACCCAGCAUUGAAUAUUUAGACUAUUCUACCAAAAUUCCCAAUUUUUACACCUUCACCCUAAAAUUUAUUCACUGUAACCAAUCAUCUUAAUCAACAGAACUAUGAAUACCUGGUAAGAUAUAUUUGCAUGUUUUUGUAAAUUUUAUCUUAAUUUUUCAGAUCCCAGAAAGUUGUUUGAUUCCACUAAAGAAGACACAAGUUCCAUAUUUAAUACAUCCCUUGACCAUGAUGAAAACAAGUAUAGAAGACGAUCGGCCAUGGAAUGGCUAACAAAAUGGCUAAAGUCAAGAGAAGGCAAACAUGGAAAGAAGGAUCCAAUGUCCAUAAGGAAGAAGUUCCUGGUGGUUUUAGUAAUAGGAAUUAUAGGCUUUCUGACAAUCAUUGUGAUAUUUUCAAAACUAGGUCGAAGCGGCAUUGACGAGGACCCCUUUUUGGGAAAUCCCCAAGUUAGAGUAAUGGAUGAAAUCAUGGACUGAUAUGUGACUGUGUUAUUCUUAUUCAUUUACAAUUGGUGUAUGUUUAAAUAAUUUCAGAGAAUAUUUGUGAAUCUGUAAAAACUGAAUUAUUUUAAAACUAUUGAUGGUUUGACAUCUGAAUAGAUGUGAUAAUGCACUAAUAGUUAUUUUGAAAGUACAUUGUAUUCUGUAAGACAUUCAAAUGUUUGUUAUCUGUAUACAUUUGUUUUAAGGCUUUGCUUUGUAACUUAAGGAUUGUAGAUUUAAAAUGUUAAAUCAUGAAUAUUCAUGUACAUGGUUGACCCGGGGACCAUUAUAAGUUAUACCAUCUAAUAUUCACCAUCUGAUUGAUGUACUGUGAUAUGUUGCUAUCAUGGAUAACAAAUAUUGCAUUUUAUUUUGUCAAAGAUGACCUGCAUGUGAGAUGAUAUUAACUCAAAUAGAUAUGUAUAGUGCUGUACUUUAACUUAAACCCGAAUUUCCAUUCAAUGUUACACAAUGUGUUAUACAUGUAUAUUAUAAAGGGUUAUUUGUAUAUUAAGCUGGUUUCAAUUUUAUUAUGUUAUCAGUGCAAUUAUUAUUUAUUCCAAAUAAAUGCCAGUAAUAUUAGAAUUGCUUUAUUGGUGUGAUUAUGGUGAACAUAUUUUAAAACUUCUGAAUUGUAUUUAAAAAGAUUGUUUAUGUAUGAAAAAUAUGUUUUAAGGUUAAUAAAUGUA
rnacentral:misc_RNA from 1 species